rnacentral:lncRNA from 1 species
CUUGGGAAGGGAUACCCGAAUUCAUGGCCUUGGGGUUGUUUAUAUAGGUGUAGAGAUAGGGUUUCAGUCAUUAUCCUUAUCUAGUUGAUUAUCCAUUAAGCAACCAAUAAGNUCGAAUUCUAAGGGAUUUACACCUCAAAUUCGUUCACCAUAUAUAUAAGAUAAUCCUUACCUUAUUUUGUAACUAUCACAUAAUUACAAUUCAGCCCCUCUAGUUUAAUUAAUUACACUUGAUCACAAAAUUAAUUCUUAAUUAAUUAUUGACCAAUAUUAAUUAAACAAAUAUGAUUUCUCCUUUAAUAUAUUAUUCUUAUAACAUAUUAAUAAAUCAUAAUAACCUCUCUCUCUAUUUAUUUCUCCAAUCAAGUUGCUUUGGUGAAGGCAACCCAAAAGGACCAUGCACCAUCGGGUCAAGUACAUACCAAAAUAGUUAUGGACUUAGACACUAAUCCAACAGUCUCCCACUUGGAUAAGUCUAAUAACUAUUCUGCGUAUGACUUCAGAUCCCGAUCUGCAAUCGUAGCUUUCCAAAGCCGCUGUCAACUCUGAUCCUAUCAGAUACGCGUGUCCUUAGAUAAGGGAUCAUAUAUUCCUCCAUUCUAGAUAUCAUAUGAGAUAUGAUUUCAAAUCAUUCUCUUUGUACUAUAUCUCGAUUUCCGAUUUAUGACGACUGACUAAUUGAACAAAUCAAAUUAGCCCUAGCCCGGCCGAGCAUUUACGUUUGUCAUCACUAAAUCAUCGAGGGGCCCAAAGAUAUCGCUUUUAUCCUACUUUGGAUAAAAGGAACGGAUAAACUUUGAUACAAUGCUUGCUUGCACUCACUCACCGAAUCACACACAACAAUAUGUUUUAUAACACCAAGUUACUAGUGCGUUUACAUAUUAUCAAUGUGCAACCGAUUUGCAAGAUACAACUCACACAUCUCGGUUUCAAGAAUAUAAGAUGUUAUCGUCUCACCAAUCACUCGUGAUACAAUUCAUGGAGUGAUCCAAGUGAGCGUGGGUUUAAUCCAAUGCUCAAAUCAUAUUCAUAAGCACUCAUGAACGUUGCAGCAAACAUUUGCUUAUGUCUAAUACUCUUUUAGACAAUCCACACACCAAUUCACGACAGUCUUCAUUCAUAUCUACUUCCAACAUAUGAACGACUGUGGCCCGUUCGAAUAAUUCGAUUAUUCUUAAUAAACUCAAUUAUUCUGGAAGUCAAAACAUGCAAAUGUGAAACACAAGAAUAAUACUAAUCCCAUAUGGCCUCAAACCUUUGAGUAUAAAUAAAACUCCUUUUAUUUAUCACCAUAUCGAUUACUCAUUAUUUGUCGUUUCGGGUAAUCAACUUCUUACUUGAAUUAUUACACUUGUCCCAUGCUCUUAGCAUGCACACAAUGUUUACCUAUGGUUCUUACUUUUGUGAAAUAGAUCAAAUUGAACACAUUUCCAAUCAUUCUCAUUUCACAACUCCAAAUCCUUUUUCAUAAGUGUGAGAAUAUCAAAUUCUUGUUACUUAUAAAAUAUGCUAGAUUCUAACAUUCUAUGCAAUGAUCCUUUCGUAAUGUCACUGCACCAAAGUCACAAAGACUAUUGCCAAUGAUAUUACAAAGUCCUCUAUCGGAGAUUGUUACAAGACAAUUCCUUAGAUAUGAUGUCUCUCACUCAAAGUACAUUCCUUUGAACAUCCUUUUGCAUAAAAGUUUCUAAUCUAGACAUAGAUUUUCAAUAUUCAAUUCCCAAUAUGGACACGCUUCCAUAUUUUCCAUAUGACAACUCAUUCUUAAUAGAAUCUUAUCUAUUCGUAAUGAUGUCGAUAUGGUCCAUCCAAUAUGGAAACAUUUCCAUAAUUUCCAUAUGACAACUCAUUCUUAAUAGAAUCUUUUCUAUUCAUAAUAAUGUCGAUAUGGUCCAUCCAAUACCAUGCUUCCAACUACUCACAAGCGACCAAUCCUCGUCGAACUUUGGAUUGUCCUUUGAUAGUUGUUUAAUUAUUUUAGUCAAAACCAAUUCUAGUCCCUUUUCCCUCUAAAUGCGCUCGACAUUUGGAAAAUUUUAGAAUGGUCAAACAUUAAAGCAUUUGCAAUCGAUCCUAUACCCGAAGCGUAUGGGACACGACGCAUAAUGUUUUAUUUGCUAUGUUCUCAAAAUUCGAAUUGUGAAGAGGGAUGCCGUAAUCAUAAUCGAAAUUUUAAGAACACACUAUGUACCUUUGACUAAAUUUAUUAACAUUUCUCAACCUAAUCCUUUAGAUUUGAAAUGAAGCAUAAUAUUCUCUCCCUUAAUUAUAGCAAAACAACUUUACAACCCUUACGACUUUGCAAGGUAUAACUCUUGUUUUCUAUAAUUAAUAUUGCCAACUUGCAAUACGUGCCUUAAUAAUCAUACAAUCAUAACAUUUAUGCUCCCACUAUCAUGAUGAUUAUUAUAAAACAUAACACUUAUGCUCCCACUAGCUUCGACAUGUAUUCAUAAACAUCUUAACUUUCAGAAAAACAAUACUUAUUGAAUUUCUUAAGUUCAUGUUUCUAAUACUUAGUGCUUUGAUAAUCUUUUAUCAAGGCUUCUUGAACUUAUACACCUUUGCCUUCGAUAGUUCAUAUGUGUGUCUAAACAAUUAAGACUAAUUGCCAAACCUCACAAUUCAAAUUAUGGAAAGGGAUACCGUAACCAUAAUCGAAUUCGAGAAUGCAAUUUUACAAUCACUAUCUUCUUAAAAUCUUUCUUAGUGAAAGCAUUUCCUCACAAUCAUUUUCAUGAAGGAGGAAAUCUUAUGACACUUAGAUUUAAACGGUGUAUGUGUUCCUAUCCAUGUGAAUUUGUUAAAACCAAAGUUUACGACAAAUUCAAACUCAUAUGGACCGAACUUUCUUAAUCUUGAUUUCUUGCCUUAUGGUAGCACAGCUGCCCACCAUGUCUUCCAAGUAGUUAAGCAGCUCACCCUUUCCUAUCAAUGUACCUUUCAUUGAUUAAGGUGCUUUGCCUUUUAUGCGUUCAAAAUGAGAACUCAUAGAACUCACAUGCAUAAUUAACUCGAUUGGAUUGGCACAGAAACAAAAUAAUGUCAACACGAUAGGUUGUAAACCUCAACUCGUGUGCUAGUGAUGAUCGAUAAGGUUUUUUUGAUUUGUUCUUGAAACCUUUCAAGACCAUUAAGACUCCCACUGACUCCUUGACAUAUAAGAUUCUCUUGUCAAUAAACAUUUCUUGACAAACAAAUAUUCAAGAGUUAGUGUAGUUUUUAUCAAAACACUUCAUAAAUUGGUCCUAGUUGGUCUUUGUCUUAUCCAAGACAUCACAACUUUCCACAUUUGAUGAAUGUUAUAAACCUUCUUAAUACUUAUCACUCAAUGUCACAAUCUUAACUCUAAGACUUGUUUUGGAACGAAGUAUGAUUGACUUCUUGAUUUAACCAUUUCUUCAAUUCUUGAUUCCUCUUCUUAGACAUACAAUUGUACUAAGACUCACUUAGAGGAUCAAUUGAGAUAUGGUUCUUAAUCAUUAAGACCUAUCAUAAAGCAUAAAAGGUACUCUCCCUUCUUCUUAGAAUGGAGAAACUUUUAUCUUUCUGCCUACUUGAUUCUUCUUAUUCGUUCUGCUAUUGAUUUAAACCUUUUCAAUCAAUUCAGAAUUACACUUAAUCUUAUAAGUAUAAUCAUAUUUACUAAACCUUUAGUAAAUCAUGACGAAUAUCUUUGUUACUCUUAUGGUGGACUUGAUCAACACGCAACUUUGUGUACUCGAUCUCCUAGUCCUUCACUUGACACUUUGUCAAUGAAUUAGUCUAAUUUCCAAAUAUGAAAUUUCUCAUUCAUCGUGCAACCAAGUUGCAUGAUUCCAAGUUUCUGUCCAAUUGAAACUUGGGCGAUGAGAAACUCUCCCUAUUUGGUAAACUCUCGACUUUCCAUAAAUAACAUAAUAAGAACCAAAUCCAUUAUUGCUAAUAAUAGAAACAUUCAAACAUCAAUUUUUCAUAUACGCCAUUGCAAGGAUAAAUAAAUAAUAUAAAAUCAAAAUUUAUUUUAUUGCGGAAAAAUUUGUCCUUACAAUGCAAUUCAUUGAAAAACUAUGCUAAUACAUCUUUCUUAGCAAUCUAAUUCUAACUCUAAGUAGUAGCUCAAGAAUCUAAUCUUCGAGAAAUGCGAUCGAAAUCCAUUCCUUCACGGUUAGAUUCUGCUCACUUCUUCCCUUAAGCUUCCUUUCUUUUCUUCGAUCCUACAAAACAUCAAUUGUAAUCUUAUCACAUUAUGUAUUAAGAAUCUAGAAUAGAAGCUUAAAAGAGUUAGUUAAUGGAUUUUACCUAUAUUAGAGCCAUACGUUUCGACUCUCCCAUCUCUUAGAUCUCUUAGGUAAAUGGGGCAGCUUCGUCUCCAAUGCCCUUUCUCUUGGCAAUAAAAGCAAAUUGACUCUUUUGGAACAUGACAUGGAACUACUUCAGACAUUGCCUUUCUCUUAUGAUCAAACUUUUCGAUCAUAGCAUGUCUUUCGUUGCCAUUGUCUAUAUCCAUAGAGGUCUUGAAGGCAGAUUCACCAAUCAACUUUGCUUUUCUAUUGCGCCAAACCAUUGCUGAUUCAGCAGCAAUAAGCAUAUAGGUGAGAUCUAUAAGGGUCACGUCGCGGUUCAUCAUAUAGUACUCUCUUACGAACUCACUAUAUGAGUUAGGAAGUGACUGAAGAACCCAAUCAACAGCCAUUUCCUCACAGACAACGGAUCCCAACAUUCUUAACCUAUCAAUGUGUGACUUCAUCCCUAGGACGUGUGCACACACCGACUUUCCUUCUUUAUGUUUACUUGCCAAAAGGGCUUGAGUGAUCUUGAACUUUUCAAGCCUUUGAACUUGUGGGUUAGGGAGAAUAAUUGGAGGAGGAGGAGGAAGUGAAGCAUGAUUUCUUGUUCCUCGAUCGAAUCGUGGAAUAUCAUCUUCAUGUGGAAUGCUUGUUCCACGGGAUUUGGGAAGACCAUAGUUGUCGAACUUUGACAUCUACAAAACGGGAGAAAACGAAUUCAAGUUAGUUGAUUGAUUGAGUCCUUAGUAAAUCACCCAAAUGAGAUACUAAGGCUAGGACCCAACACAAUAUUCUACAACUCGGGAGAGGGAUGCCGUAACCCUAAUUGCAGAAUAUUUGAAGGUAAGUGAAUGACGAUUCACUAAUUUCCACCAUGAAAAACGAAAAAGAAAUUUAAGUUUUAAAUCUAUGAAAACUCCUAGAUCCUUUGAGAUUCAUUGAACUUUCAAUGGCAUGUUUAAAUCUCGAUAUGCCCCUCUUGUUUGUGACUGGGAUGCCGAGGAUCACAAAGCGGGUGUGAAUAACCAUGCAAACUUACAUGGUGCCCUCACAUGUUACAGUCACCUAUUCGAUGUGCCGGUAAACCACACACGCUCCACCGAACUAUGACAAACAUUGAGUCACCCUUUGCUACCUUUGCUUAGAACCAUUUAGUGUGCCGGUUAACCACACACGCUCCACUAACGUCUUCGCAAGGGCACAAAGUGUAAUUUCAUGGAAUUGCAUCAAUUCACUUUUGCCUAAGUAACUAAGAUUGGGAAUUUUAUGAAAACAUUUAGUUACUUUAAUAAUUCAUUAUACUUAUAAUGGAAGGUUUCGUCCUAUCCUACCCGUUCGGCUAACGACCCUCCACUAGUCAAGAGUGCGGUGGGUAAGAGUGGAUACCCAUUCAAUCGCCAUUUUAUAGGCAAUUUCCUUAAACACCCCUUAUAGACCAGCUUCGUGAAUGAGGCCUACUAACGGUAAGACUGACUUUUACUCAUACAUAUAUAUAAUGUUAGACUUUUAAUGUUAUAUAUAGUAUAGGGUGUAUUUUAUACUUUUAAAAUACUAGGUGGUCUAAUUUAACAAUUAUACUUUUAAUUCAAUUAAAUUGUAAACCUAAACUUUUAUGGAUUUAUUAAACCUCUUUUAAUUAUACACCUUAAUUAAUUAAUAAAACCAUAAGGGUGUGAUUUGAACUUUUUCAAAACUAUACUAGAGUUUUAGAAUUUAACAUUCCUAAUUAAACUUUUAAUCAACUUUUAAAUUCCAAAACUUGAGGGCAAGUUUUGAAACAUUUCAACACAUUAGGGUUUAGAAUUUAAAUAUGCAUCAAAAUUAAACUAUUUAAUCAAAAUUUAAAUUCCAAAACUUGAGGGCAAGUUUUGAAACCUUUUUCAAAACAUUAGGGUUUCAACUAUUUAAAUUUCAAAACAACAAAACUUUUGGGGUUCAAAUUUAAACUAUAAAACCUAAAGGGCCAAAUAUGAAACUUUUCACAACAACAAGGAUCAAAUAACAAAUAAUUCAAAUUAACAUUUAAUCACAUAAUUAUCCAUAUUUGAUGAUUUCUUGCAAAAUAAUUUAUCAAUUUACUUAAAAUAAUUAAUCAAUUAUCUUAUAAGGAAACAAUUAUCCUAUUAAUUGAUAAAUAUCUUCAAUUAGAUUAAAAUUAUAGUCAAAUAUAUCAUAUAAUCGGAUUAAUAUUAAUCUAACAUGAUAAGGUAAUUAUCCCAAUGCAAAAACAGCAAGAAAUCCCGAGAUAAGCACUGUCUGACGCACCGACUCGCCGAGUCACCCUCUGGAACUCGCCGAGUAGGGCUGACUCGCCGAGUCCAAGAGUGACUCGCCGAGUCAGGUCGAACAGUGAGGCCAAAACACGAUUUUCAGUUACAUCAAGCAUCAAUACAAUAGAAACCAAUCAUGGCUCUGAUACCACUGAUGGGUUUUGGUCAUAAGACAUCCUAUGUGCUCAUACAAACCCUAAAGCUUGGAUCUAGGUUUCUCUAUUGUACAUACUUUGAAUCCAAGACUUUGAACCCUAAUUCUAGCAUAUGGAAAUCAUAAUUCACAUGUAAUUAGGUUUAAGAACAUACCUUGAUUGUUAUAUAGCAAUAACAAUCCAAUUCCUCCUUGAAUUGACCUUGGAAAGCAAAGAGUCACAAGUGUCACUCCUCUAAUGGCUUACAAACACCAUAAGCAAGUGGAGAAGGUAUAAGGAGAGAGGAGGGAGGUUAGAAUUCGUAUUUGGGACUUCUUGGGAAGGGAUACACGAAUUCAUAACCCUAGGGGUGUUUAUAUAGGUGUAGAGAUAGGGUUUCAGUCAUUAUCCUUAUCUAGUUGAUUAUCCAUUAAGCAACCAAUAAGAUAAUCCUUGAAUCCUUAUCAUACUCGAAUUCUAAGGGAUUUACACCUCAAAUUCGUUCACCAUAUAUAUAAGAUAAUCCUUACCUUAUUUUGUAACUAUC